AGUAACACGUGGAUAACCUACCUAUAAGACUGGGAUAACUUCGGGAAACCGGAGCUAAUACCGGAUAAUAUUUUGAACCGCAUGGUUCAAAAGUGAAAGACAGUCUUGCUGUCACUUAUAGAUGGAUCCGCGCUGCAUUAGCUAGUUGGUAAGGUAACGGCUUACCAAGGCAACGAUGCAUAGCCGACCUGAGAGGGUGAUCGGCCACACUGGAACUGAGGCACGGUCCAG
rnacentral:rRNA from 1 species